rnacentral:rRNA from 1 species
CAGCAUGGUCUUAGCUUGCUAAGACUGAUGGCGACCGGCGCACGGGUGAGUAACACGUAUCCAACCUGCCGUCUACUCUUGGACAGCCUUCUGAAAGGAAGAUUAAUACAAGAUGGCAUCAUGAGUCCACAUGUUCACAUGAUUAAAGGUAUUCCGGUAGACGAUGGGGAUGCGUUCCAUUAGAUAGUAGGCGGGGUAACGGCCCACCUAGUCUUCGAUGGAUAGGGGUUCUGAGAGGAAGGUCCCCCACAUUGGAACUGAGACACGGUCCAAACUCCUACGGGAGGCAGCAGUGAGGAAUAUUGGUCAAUGGGCGAGAGCCUGAACCAGCCAAGUAGCGUGAAGGAUGACUGCCCUAUGGGUUGUAAACUUCUUUUAUAAAGGAAUAAAGUCGGGUAUGCAUACCCGUUUGCAUGUACUUUAUGAAUAAGGAUCGGCUAACUCCGUGCCAGCAGCCGCGGUAAUACGGAGGAUCCGAGCGUUAUCCGGAUUUAUUGGGUUUAAAGGGAGCGUAGAUGGAUGUUUAAGUCAGUUGUGAAAGUUUGCGGCUCAACCGUAAAAUUGCAGUUGAUACUGGAUAUCUUGAGUGCAGUUGAGGCAGGCGGAAUUCGUGGUGUAGCGGUGAAAUGCUUAGAUAUCACGAAGAACUCCGAUUGCGAAGGCAGCCUGCUAAGCUGCAACUGACAUUGA